rnacentral:rRNA from 1 species
GACGAACGCUGGCGGCGUGCUUAACACAUGCCAGUCGAACGGAAAGGCCCUGCUUUUGUGGGGUGCUCGAGUGGCGAACGGGUGAGUAACACGUGAGUAACCUGCCUUUGACUUUGGGAUAACUUCAGGAAACUGGGGCUAAUACCGGAUAGGAGCUCCCGCUGCAUGGUGGGGGUUGGAAAGUUUCGGCGGUUGGGGAUGGACUCGCGGCUUAUCAGCUUGUUGGUGGGGUAGUGGCUUACCAAGGCUUUGACGGGUAGCCGGCCUGAGAGGGUGACCGGCCACAUUGGGACUGAGAUACGGCCCAGACUCCUACGGGAGGCAGCAGUGGGGAAUAUUGCACAAUGGGCGGAAGCCUGAUGCAGCAACGCCGCGUGCGGGAUGACGGCCUUCGGGUUGUAAACCGCUUUCGCCUGUGACGAAGCGUGAGUGACGGUAAUGGGUAAAGAAGCACCGGCUAACUACGUG